UAUCGCUCAUUCCCUCACCUGCUCGUAAACACUACUCACUUUCUCUCUCUUUAGAGUUCAGACUACUUUUCUCUCUUUGAUUCUCACCAACUUUAAAGAAUUUGAUUCUUUCAACAGAUUAAGGGUUGUUCGUUUGGAUGAAGAUGAAUUUUUCAGCAAUGAAGAUGGGAAUAUUUCAUCUCUAGAUACAAUCAAAGUGUUGCAGGGUAGAUUAGAGAAAUAAGGUUGCUCAGGGAUCGAAGAGGUGCCUUCGUGUUAAACUAUGCAACAAAUUAAUUAGUACCUUAUGUAAAAUCAUGCAAGACGGUGAUGAGCUCAUUGAUAAGAAGAAUCGAUUUUGACAGCUUCUCCGCACUCGAAAGCUACCUCUAAAAGCCUGCCAAGGGCUGUCAAGACAUCACUUCUAUUGCUUUGAUAGGCAGCAACAUUAGAAUCAAUUGCUUUGGCCUAAUCAUACAACACCAAAGCUUCCUUGUAUUUACCAUGCUUAUACUUGUCAUCGAUUCUGAAAGCUUCUUUGCACUCGAGAACUACCUCUAGGAGCCUGCUCCUGCUCCUGCUCCAGCACUCGAGCCUCAAAAACCCAAGUCCGCUCCAGCUCUAGCAACUGAGCCUGAAAAGCCUAAACCAUCUCCCAAAGAAGCCACCAUCAAUGCAGAAAAAUGGCUCCAAGAAUGGCUCAAAGAAUGGCUCAAAGAAUAGCUACAAGUGAAAGGAAUGGUGUCCUUCUAACAAGUGUAUUAUUUCGAUAGAGGGUUCGAAAUUAUUAGAAAGCUA